rnacentral:rRNA from 1 species
GACGACGCUGGGCGGCGUGCUUAAACACAUGCAAGGUCGAACGGACGAGUGAGAUAAGUUUACUUAACUCAACAAGUUAGUGGCGGACGGGUGAGUAACACGUGGAUAAUCUACCUGCAACACCGGGAUAACGCUGUGAAAACGGUGCUAAUACCGGAUACGUUCCCUUGUGCGCAUGUAUGAGGGAAGAAAGCUCAGGCGGUUGCAGAUGAGUCCGCGGCUGAUUAGCUAGUUGGUGAGGUAAAGGCUCACCAAGGCGAUGAUCAGUAGCCGGCCUGAGAGGGUGAACGGCCACACUGGGACUGAGACACGGCCCAGACUCCUACGGGAGGCAGCAGUGGGGAAUCUUCCGCAAUGGGCGCAAGCCUGACGGAGCAACGCCGCGUGGGUGAAGAAGGCCUUCGGGUUGUAAAGCCCUGUCUUAUGGGAAGAAGUCAGUGACGGUACCAUAGGAGGAAGCCACGGCUAACUACGUG